rnacentral:rRNA from 1 species
UUGACCUCAAAUCAGGUAGGAUUACCCGCUGAACUUAAGCAUAUCAAUAAGCGGAGGAAAAGAAACUAACAAGGAUUCCCUUAGUAACUGCGAGUGAAGUGGGAAGAGCUCAAAUUUUAAAUCUGGCAGUGUUUGACUGUCCGAAUUGUAAUCUAGAGAAGCGUUUUCAGUGCUAGACCGUGUACAAGUCUCCUGGAAGGGAGCGUCAUAGAGGGUGAUAAUCCCGUCUUGACACG